rnacentral:rRNA from 1 species
AAGAGUUCUGUAUUAAAGGAGAUAACUCACUGAAUUGAAGCAUCUCACUA